CCUACGAGCGGCUGCAGUGAGGAAUAUUGGUCAAUGGGCGGAAGCCUGAACCAGCCAAGUAGCGUGCAGGAUGCCGGCCCUACGGGUUGUAAACUGCUUUUAUACGGGAAUAACGCGCCUUCCGUGUAGGGCUUUGCAUGUACCGUAUGAAUAAGGACCGGCUAAUUCCGUGCCAGCAGCCGCGGUAAUACGGAAGGUCCGGGCGUUAUACGGAUUUUGUGGGUUUAAAGGGAGCGUAGGCGGCAUGUACAGCGUGCUGUGAAAUGUCCGGGCUCAACCCGGGGCUUGAAGCGCGAACUGGCGUGCUGGAGUCCGCGGAAAGCAGGCGGAAUUCGGCGUGUAGCGGGGAAAUGCUUAGAUAUGACGAAGAACCCCGAGUGCGAAGGCAGCUUGCUGCAGCGGAACUGACGCUGAUGCUCGAAAGCGCGGGUAUCGAACAGGAUUAGAUACCCCUGUAGUC
rnacentral:rRNA from 1 species